rnacentral:lncRNA from 1 species
UGUGUGAGAAAAGGAGUGAUUUUUGGUGUGAAAAACCUCAGAGUUGGGGCAUAAAAAGUUGAGAGUGAGUUGAGCUUCCGUGCGUGAGAAACAGAGGAAGUGAUCUUCCUCUCGGACGUGAGGUGUAGGGUGGGUUCUAGGGUUUCAACUCUAGAUUUUGUGAGAAAAAAAAUACAAGUCUUGUUCAAUCUCCCACACCACCACUUCCUUGUAAAGCUUCAUUUUCUAAUCUGAAGGAGUUCGGA